rnacentral:tRNA from 1 species
AGUUAAUUGGCUUAAAGCAUUAUAUCUUGAAAAUAUAAAAAAGAAUUAAUUAUUCUAUUAACUU